rnacentral:rRNA from 1 species
AUAUUGCACAAUGGGCGAAAGCCUGAUGCAGCAAUGCCGCGUGAGUGAUGACGGCCCUCGGGUCGUCAAGCUCUUUGAUCAGGGUUGAUAAUGACAGUACCAGAAAAAUAAGCCACGGCUAAGUACGGGCCAGUAGCCGCGGUAAUACGUAGGUGGCGUGCGUUGUCCGGAAUUACUGGGCGUAAAGGAUGCGUAGGUGGAUACUUAAGUGGGAUGUGAAAUCCCCGGGCUCAACCCGGGAACUGCAUUCCAAACUGGGUAUCUAGAGUGCAGGAGAGGAAAGCGGAAUUCCUAGUGUAGCGGUGAAAUGCGUAGAUAUUAGGAGGAACACCAGUGGCGAAGGCGGCUUUCUGGACUGUAACUGACACUGAGGCAUGAAAGCGUGGGUAGCAAACAGG